UGGUUUCCUUCCUUUUCAUACCUACUCAUGGAGUCUUCAGAUACGGUUCCCUUACAGUCAGAAGGUGUUCAGCAAGGUUCUCCACGGAUCUGCUCAACUAGAAGAUACUUGUCAGCGGUUGGUGAAUAGGAUGCCUAUCAACCCGAAGCUAGCUGUAUUCGAGAGCACACAGGAGAGGUUCGAGGUACUUCUUCGACCCGAGUUGCGAUCAUCUUAUCCAGUGGGUGGUGGCCCUGGAUCGUCUUUUCAACAGCUACCCAACCGAAAUGUUCCUCAACAGAGUUAUGUUCCUGAUGAUCCUGGCGCUGAUUUUAUUGCGGUUGACCAUGCUCCGGG